rnacentral:lncRNA from 1 species
AAGAGGGAAAUCUACCACUAGGAGGGUGAGCUUGGCGCAACUCUUGCAGCCAAACGUCCUCACAACUGAAGCAGGAAGUGGCUUUUCUAUCUUCAGGGAAUGGUUGUUUCUGGGACCGUCCUUCACAGGCUUGCAGUACCUGAACUGAACCAGUGUCUGGGUGUGGAGGAUCCACCUGAGGAUUGUUGCCAACAGCCAUAAAAAGAGAACUGGAGGGGAAGAUCGAAGGCUGUUGAUUUUCUAGGAGCAGCUUGUGUGGAUGGUCUUCCUGAUAGGAACUCGGCUGUUUUCAUCAGAGGGGGAGCUCAGGCCUCACUGUGGCUGGGAAUGGCUGCUGUUCUGUCAGGGGAGCUCUGAUCUUCACCGUGAGCAUCACUUCCUGGCUCCAGUAUGGAUCCCUCAGCCUGUGGCACAAAUCCUUCACCCCACCGGCAUAGGCUUUCUGGCUCCCACCACUGGCCUUUGGGCCUUCAGGUGCAGAUCCUCAAUACUGACAAGCGUGAGACGUUGCCAUGGGCUCUGGGCCUCUGGCUGGACUCAUGGAGGACACUGCCUUGGGCUCUAAGCCUUUAGCUGGACUUGUGUGGGAAAUUGCUGAUCCAGGCUCUCGGCUAGAUUCUUUGGGCCCCUAAUGUGUGGCUAAUCUCUUGCACUCCUUUGCAUUUGACUUUUGGGGUAAUUAUCAUAAAGUAAUCCUAUAAACUAUGUGUCCUGCAGUAAAUUUAUUCUCUUGCCAAACCCUGACUAUAGCAAUCUCCAAACUGAGUCUUAUCUAAAAGUCCUUCUAAAAUGUCUUUGGAAUUUAUUAAAAUGUUUCUACAUGC